rfam:Homo sapiens chromosome 6, GRCh38 reference primary assembly.
GCUGGAUAUGGUGGUGCACACCUGUAGUCCCAGCUACUUGGAGGCUGAGGCAGGAGGAUCCCUUGAGCCCAGGAAGUUGAGGCUGCAGUGAGCUGCAAUCACACCACUGCACUUCAGCCUGGGUGAUAGAGCGAGAGCCUGUCUCUU